GUUUUGUUAGCGGGAUUCUCAGGUUGAGUUAAAACAGACCGGAGGUGACAGAAAAGCAUGAGUUCGGUUCUCCGGAAGAAUUGUCUCUGGUCGCCACCUGCAGAGAGACGCAAAGGCCCCAGAACGAGGAAAGCGGUGUCAAGCCUUGAAGUCGCGUGAGCAGCUGGCAGGAAUGGCAAAGCAUGGCUGGAACUUAGAUCUGUCUGUGCUCCUGGUCCCUGGACAUACACUGCCACUAGUCACAACGGCUACAGGUUGCUCCAGUUUCCAGCCAUCUUGCCCAGUUCUGUGUGGCCCUUGACCGGUACUGUUGUGGCAUAUCCACCAGCGAAGAAUGCUUGGAUAUGGGUUUAAGCCAAUAGGAAGUCUUCACACUGGGUGUGAAGUGGAGCUCCGUACCUUUCUCAGGGUGAGCUUUUAAGUGCAACACCAUUUCCUGCUUGGCGCACUUCAGUUAAAAGAACCGUCAGCCAGAAGCAGAACUCAGAGGCCAAAAAGAAAGGUUAUACAUUUAGAGACUUUCCCAGAACUAUGGUCUUAGAUCGAUUAGGUCUUAAUUUUAGUUUUGGCAGGUGGUGCUGUCUAUGUGCUGAGUUUUACAGCCUGAAUGGCACUUCCAUCAUGGAGUCAGUUGUGCUAAGGUUGAGGAUCCUGUUACAUACUUUACCUCAUUUUCUUAUCUUUCACAGCAACCUUAGAAAGUUGAUGGCAGAAGUAAGCAGUAGUUGUGAAAUUUGUUUUGUUUUUGUCUUUUGAGAUCACUCCAUGUGUCUGUUGACUGGCUUGGAGCUCACUCUGUAGACCAGGCUGGCCUCAAACUCAGAGAUCCAUCUGCCUCUGCUUCGUGAGUGCUGGGAUUAAAGGCGUGCGCCACCACACUGGUUACACUAAGGAUUGCUUUAUACAUCCAUCAGAUUUAAUCCUCAGAGUGGUACUUGAAGUGAAAACUCUAGUUUUCCUAUGCCCUCAGGGCCUGCGUGAGAAACCAGGUGCAGGAAGUGAAGUUACUUGCCAAGCGCUCAGCAAGUAAAAAACAGAGCUAGCACAAGCGUCAGUGCCCGGAGCCUUACCACCAUCUGGUAGUUAUAUUGGUGUGUUGGAUGUCUUACACAGGUAAGGCAGUCUUCCUCAAGGUUUAGGAGUUUCAGUGCUCUUGGGAGGUUUUCAAGCUAGACCACCUUUCCCUGUACUGUAUUAUUAGGACCCUUCGUUCCACUCACCAGAGACGCCCUUGGGGGCUGUUUAACACAUUGGGAAACAAGAAUCAAGAAAACUCACUUAACUUCAUCUCUUCAGAUUUCUCUGUUCUGCCACCAUCUAAAACCCUGAUCGGGAGCCGGGAAGUGGUGGCAUACACCUUUAAUCCC